rnacentral:lncRNA from 1 species
CGGAGACGGCGGACGGCCAGUGACGGUGGCUGGCGGCGGCGGAUGGUCGGUGAUGGUGGCCGGCGGCAGUGGAUAGCUGGCAGGUGGCGAGCGGCACCGGGUAGUGGCGGACAACAACACCAGACAGAUGCGAGACAAAAACUAAAGAUUGCCCAUUGAAGUAUAAAGGCACAAGUUGAAAAAGAAACUUUUAGGGGGGGUCGCCGGUGGCGGCGGUUGAUGAGCUCGAUUCUAAGGCAGAUCGGCGAUGAGCUGAAGACACAAGCACGGAUCGACUGACGAACCAGACCAUAGACGCAGCGGAAGAACGAAAACGAAGAGAACCCUAGGAUUAGGGUGGUUUGUUCGUUGUAAGUGAUAGGUGUAGGGAUUUGUGACGUUUUAAUAGGUGAAGCUGGAGGAUUCACCGAUUGAAUCGGUAAAAUGGAAGGAGGCUAGGUUUUGAUCGGUAAAGGUUCAACAAGUGAUGGAUCGAGGGAAACCCUAACAGAAAGACUAGAUCUACGAAGUAGAUCGGCAAAGAGAAUGGUUAGGGUGCGUUGAGGAGACUUACGGUGGAGAUCUGUGGAACUGUGGCUCGUGGUUGGCCGUGGAAGCAAUGGAGAAGAAGUGAGUCUGAACGAGACUAGUGUGGGCGGCGCGAAACAAUAUGUUUCUGAUUCGCGAGAAUGAGGUUUCGAAAGAUAAGUGUAGUUGUGGUAGUANNUCUGAUGUGGAAAAUGAAUGAAUUGCAAUGUGAAAUGGAAGGUGGCUAGAGGAGAUCCUUUGGGAUUCUCUAGCCUUGACUUUCAAGGUAGAAUUGCUCUGGAGUGAUUCUCAACAGGAAACNAUUCAAUUAUCUCAAAAGUAUUUACAAGAUGUGUUAGCAUGCCUAUAUAUAGGUCUAUGCCUAACACAUUGUACAAAUGUCUAUUACAAAUAAAAGAAAUACUAGACUAAGGAAAUUGGGCUUGGGCCCAAGUCAUCAGCGGCCCCCGGCAGCAACAAAGACAAAGUAGAAAAGGAUCAGAAAACCUGCUCUGAUACCAUGUUAAAUAUAGUGAAAAUUAUAUAUUGGAAUUAAUCCC